rnacentral:tRNA from 1 species
UGGGGUAUAGUACAGUGGUAGUACGUCUGAUUUUGGUUCAGAUUGCGGUGGUUCGAUUCCAUCUACCUCAA